rnacentral:rRNA from 1 species
UACGGGAGGCAGCAGUGGGGAAUAUUGCACAAUGGGCGAAAGCCUGAUGCAGCUAUGCCGCGUGUAUGAAGAAGGCCUUAGGGUUGUAAAGUACUUUCAUCGGGGAGGAAAAACAAAACUAAUAAUUUUAUUUCUUGACGUUACCCGAAAAAGAAGCACCGGCUAACUCCGUGCCAGCAGCCGCGGUAAUACGGAGGGUGCUAGCGUUAAUCAGAAUUACUGGGCGUAAAGAGCACGUAGGUGGUUUUUUUAAGUCAGAUGUGAAAUCCCUGGGCUUAACCUGGAACUGCAUUUUGAAACUGAAAUACUAGAGUAUCGUAGAGGGAGGUAGAAUUCUAGGUGUAGCGGUGAAAUGCGUAGAUAUCUGGAGGAAUACCUGUGGCGAAAGCGGCCUCCUAAACGAAUACUGACACUGAGGUGCGAAAGCGUGGGGAGCGAACAAGAGUAGUAGUACC